rnacentral:tmRNA from 1 species
GUAUAGUAAACUAGCUUUAUUCCAGCACAGGGUGCUGGAACGAGACAUCGCUCAACGGAUGUUGUUCCGAAUCUUGUUGAUCAAGCGGUGCAGGUAAAUCGGAAAUAGUUCAUGUACGCCUCGUUGCAUGGAUGAAAUUUUAGAGGAUAAGGGUAUGAUUGGUGGUCCAGGUCCUGUCAUGCCUCGAAAACCGAAGGCUGGAAUAAGCAUGUAGAAAGCGUAUGGUUUCCUUGUGCGGACGAGGGUUCGAAUCCCUCCAGCUCCACCC